GAGUUUGAUCAUGGCUCAGGAUGAACGCUGGCGGCGUGCCUAAUACAUGCAAGUCGAACGCACAGCGAAAGGUGCUUGCACCUUUCAAGUGAGUGGCGAACGGGUGAGUAACACGUGGACAACCUGCCUCAAGGCUGGGGAUAACAUUUGGAAACAGAUGCUAAUACCGAAUAAAACUUAGUGUCGCAUGACACAAAGUUAAAAGGCGCUUCGGCGUCACCUAGAGAUGGAUCCGCGGUGCAUUAGUUAGUUGGUGGGGUAAAGGCCUACCAAGACAAUGAUGCAUAGCCGAGUUGAGAGACUGAUCGGCCACAUUGGGACUGAGACACGGCCCAAACUCCUACGGGAGGCUGCAGUAGGGAAUCUUCCACAAUGGGCGAAAGCCUGAUGGAGCAACGCCGCGUGUGUGAUGAAGGCUUUCGGGUCGUAAAGCACUGUUGUAUGGGAAGAACAGCUAGAAUAGGAAAUGAUUUUAGUUUGACGGUACCAUACCAGAAAGGGACGGCUAAAUACGUGCCAGCAGCCGCGGUAAUACGUAUGUCCCGAGCGUUAUCCGGAUUUAUUGGGCGUAAAGCGAGCGCAGACGGUUUAUUAAGUCUGAUGUGAAAGCCCGGAGCUCAACUCCGGAAUGGCAUUGGAAACUGGUUAACUUGAGUGCAGUAGAGGUAAGUGGAACUCCAUGUGUAGCGGUGGAAUGCGUAGAUAUAUGGAAGAACACCAGUGGCGAAGGCGGCUUACUGGACUGCAACUGACGUUGAGGCUCGAAAGUGUGGGUAGCAAACAGGAUUAGAUACCCUGGUAGUCCACACCGUAAACGAUGAACACUAGGUGUUAGGAGGUUUCCGCCUCUUAGUGCCGAAGCUAACGCAUUAAGUGUUCCGCCUGGGGAGUACGACCGCAAGGUUGAAACUCAAAGGAAUUGACGGGGACCCGCACAAGCGGUGGAGCAUGUGGUUUAAUUCGAAGCAACGCGAAGAACCUUACCAGGUCUUGACAUCCUUUGAAGCUUUUAGAGAUAGAAGUGUUCUCUUCGGAGACAAAGUGACAGGUGGUGCAUGGUCGUCGUCAGCUCGUGUCGUGAGAUGUUGGGUUAAGUCCCGCAACGAGCGCAACCCUUAUUGUUAGUUGCCAGCAUUCAGAUGGGCACUCUAGCGAGACUGCCGGUGACAAACCGGAGGAAGGCGGGGACGACGUCAGAUCAUCAUGCCCCUUAUGACCUGGGCUACACACGUGCUACAAUGGCGUAUACAACGAGUUGCCAACCCGCGAGGGUGAGCUAAUCUCUUAAAGUACGUCUCAGUUCGGAUUGUAGUCUGCAACUCGACUACAUGAAGUCGGAAUCGCUAGUAAUCGCGGAUCAGCACGCCGCGGUGAAUACGUUCCCGGGUCUUGUACACACCGCCCGUCACACCAUGGGAGUUUGUAAUGCCCAAAGCCGGUGGCCUAACCUUUUAGGAAGGAGCCGUCUAAGGCAGGACAGAUGACUGGGGUGAAGUCGUAACAAGGUAGCCGUAGGAGAACCUGCGGUUGGAUCACCUC
rnacentral:rRNA from 1 species